rnacentral:rRNA from 1 species
AACACAUGCAAGUCNAGCGGAUGAAGAGAGCUUGCUCUCUGAUUCAGCGGNGGACGGGUGAGUAAUGCCUAGGAAUCUGCCUGGUAAUGGGGGACAACGUCUCNAAAGGGACGCUAAUACCGCAUACGUCCUANGGGA